rnacentral:rRNA from 1 species
GAUGAACGCUAGCUACAGGCUUAACACAUGCAAGUCGAGGGGCAGCAUGAACUUAGCUUGCUAAGUUUGAUGGCGACCGGCGCACGGGUGAGUAACACGUAUCCAACCUGCCGAUGACUCGGGGAUAGCCUUUCGAAAGAAAGAUUAAUACCCGAUGGCAUAGUUCUUCCGCAUGGUAGAACUAUUAAAGGAUUUCGGUCAUCGAUGGGGAUGCGUUCCAUUAGGUUGUUGGCGGGGUAACGGCCCACCAAGCCUUCGAUGGAUAGGGGUUCUGAGAGGAAGGUCCCCCACAUUGGAACUGAGACACGGUCCAAACUCCUACGGGAGGCAGCAGUGAGGAAUAUUGGUCAAUGGGCGAGAGCCUGAACCAGCCAAGUAGCGUGAAGGAUGACUGCCCUAUGGGUUGUAAACUUCUUUAUAAAGGAAUAAAGUCGGGUAUGGAUACCCGUUUGCAUGUACUUUAUGAAUAAGGAUCGGCUAACUCCGUG